CUUAAAUUGAAGAGUUUGAUCAUGGCUCAGAUUGAACGCUGGCGGCAGGCCUAACACAUGCAAGUCGAGCGGAAACGAGUUAUCUGAACCUUCGGGGAACGAUAACGGCGUCGAGCGGCGGACGGGUGAGUAAUGCCUAGGAAAUUGCCCUGAUGUGGGGGAUAACCAUUGGAA
rnacentral:rRNA from 1 species